AGUGAACGCUGGCGGUAGGCCUAACACAUGCAAGUCGAACGGCAGCACAGUAAGAGCUUGCUCUUCCGGGUGGCGAGUGGCGGACGGGUGAGGAAUACAUCGGAAUCUACUUUUUCGUGGGGGAUAACGUAGGGAAACUUACGCUAAUACCGCAUACGACCUACGGGUGAAAGCAGGGGAUCUUCGGACCUUGCGCGAUUGAAUGAGCCGAUGUCGGAUUAGCUAGUUGGCGGGGUAAAGGCCCACCAAGGCGACGAUCCGUAGCUGGUCUGAGAGGAUGAUCAGCCACACUGGAACUGAGACACGGUCCAGACUCCUACGGGAGGCAGAAGUGGGGAAUAGUGGACGAUGGGCGCAAGCCUGAUCCAGCCAUACCGCGUGGGUGAAGAAGGCCUUCGGGUUGUAAAGCCCUUUUGUUGGGAAAGAAAAGCAGCAGGUUAAUACCCCGCUGUUCUGACGGUACCCAAAGAAUAAGCACCGGCUAACUUCGUG
rnacentral:rRNA from 1 species